rnacentral:misc_RNA from 1 species
GAUGAAGAACGCAGCGAAAUGCGAUAAGUAAUGUGAAUUGCAGAAUUCAGUGAAUCAUCGAAUCUUUGAACGCACCUUGCGCCCUUUGGCUAUUCCGAAGGGCAUGCCUGUUUGAGUAUCAUGAACAUCUCAACUCCUCACGGUUCGCCCGUGACGAGCUUGGACUUUGGGGGUCUUGCCGGCCUGCGGGUCGGCUCCUCUCGAAUGAAUCAGCUUGCCGGUGUUUGGUGGCGUCACAGGUGUGAUAAAUAUCUACGCUUGUGGUUUUCCGCCAGGUAACCUCCAGCGAUGGGGGUUCACUGGAGCUCACGAAUGUCUCUCCUCGGUGAGGACAGCUCUUUGAACGUUUGAUCUCAAAUCAGGUAGGGCUACCCGCUGAACUUAAGCAUAUCAAUAAGCGGAGGA